rnacentral:snoRNA from 1 species
UUCUAUGAUGAAUGGCACUGGGCUCCGACAGCCUUAUCAUGGCUGGUCUUGAUGGAUAUGCCCUUUUGUGGCAGGCCUAGAAAACCUCGCCCACUGAUU